GAUUAACGCUGGCGGCGUGCCUAACACAUGCAAGUCGAACGAGGGGUAGCAAUACCUCUAGUGGCAGACGGGUGAGUAACGCGUGGUCAACCUACCGUUGAGUGGGGGAUAACUCGCCGAAAGGCGAGCUAAUACCGCAUACGUCUCCGAGAGGCAUCUCUCGGCGAUAAAAGGAGCAAUCCGCUCGAUGACGGGACCGCGUCCCAUUAGCUAGAUGGUGGGGUAACGGCCUACCAUGGCACCGAUGGGUAGCUGGUUUGAGAGAGCGACCAGCCAC
rnacentral:rRNA from 1 species